AUUGAACGCUGGCGGCAGGCUUAACACAUGCAAGUCGAGCGGGGGAAGGUAGCUUGCUACCGGACCUAGCGGCGGACGGGUGAGUAAUGCUUAGGAAUCUGCCUAUUAGUGGGGGACAACAUCUCGAAAGGGAUGCUAAUACCGCAUACGUCCUACGGGAGAAAGCAGGGGAUCUUCGGACCUUGCGCUAAUAGAUGAGCCUAAGUCAGAUUAGCUAGUUGGUGGGGGAAAGGCCUACCAAGGCGACGAUCUGUAGCGGGUCUGAGAGGAUGAUCCGCCACACUGGGACUGAGACACGGCCCAGACUCCUACGGGAGGCAGCAGUGGGGAAUAUUGGACAAUGGGGGGAACCCUGAUCCAGCCAUGCCGCGUGUGUGAAGAAGGCCUUAUGGUUGUAAAGCACUUAAGCGAGGAGGAGGCUACUUUAGUUAAUACCUAGAGAUAGUGGACGUUACUCGCAGAAUAAGCACCGGCUAACUCUGUGCCAGCAGCCGCCGCUG
rnacentral:rRNA from 1 species